CGUGCAAUCUUGGAGACGAUCCUCAGCGGGCAAGACUCCUCAAUGACCCAAGCAAACCCAGUACAGUGCCCUGUGGCUCAAGUUCACGCAGUGUAGCCACGCAGUGUAGCCGGAUGACCUGCUCCCGGGAUGAGGGGCCCUGGCGCAGGGUGCAGGCCCAGAGCUCCCCGCACGCGUGCUUGCUGCGUGGCUCGCAGCCCCUGAAGCUCCUGCAGCCCGGCCAGUGCGGCUCGUAGUCGCGCGCCCACCCUGCGGCGGUCCCAACCCGCGGGCCCCUGGCCGCUCGGUGCCCACAUCUCCCGGACGCUCAACCGCCGCGCCGCGCGUCCCCGUCGCGUCUCCCCGCCCCCGGCUGCAGGUCGCUUAGGAAUUGAAUACAAGUGCAUAAAUGGAAUUAUUUUCCCAUUGUCUCCAUGUUCCCAUCGAGCGUAUGUAAAUGGGCCUUUUACCUCUGACAGCCUUUCAUGGACGCCUCCAGCUUGGCAGCUGUGGAAUCAGCUUUACCUGCCUACCUCUCAGUGUCUCUGCUGCCGGGAUUGAUUUUUGAGACCAAAAGGCAACAUAAAGGGCCCUCGGCUGACCUAAAUAUAUUAAAGCCCUCUGCACAUAGCUUUAUUUACGUGACUGGCACAGGUCCCAGGAAGCCAUGGAAGGACCCUUUGUCCCUGGGCAGAAACAGAUGGUGACUGGAUAUCGGUUCUCCUGUGGGACAUCACCAGGGUCCCACAGGUGAAAUUCACUGGGUACCAAUGCCUCAGGCAAGCUGCUUUUUCUUUUCAAACGUCUGCCUGCCUGAAGUCUCCAGAUACACGUUCACUGUGGAUGAAGACGGGUCAGGAAGGCCCAUGCACUGGGUUUUAUUCCCCCUGUAGAUGUCAUCUUUCUGACACAGGUUCUGAGCAGGAGUACUGUCCUCUCAGAAGACCAUAUCUCUGCUGUGUACAUCUUCCCUGGACUUGUAAGGAUCCGAGAAAUGGAGAAGGGCAGUAGGCUGCCUUUGUGUGUUGGCGGCUUCUGAAGCCGUCUCUCAACAGAUGUCUGUUGAAUGGAACGUGCUUGAGCUGGAGUUUCAGCUGCUAGGACAUCACAUGGAGUUUUCAGAAGAAACUAUGUGUGACUGUCCAGCGGACGCUCUUAGCUGAGGAGCGGGUCUUUAUACGAUUUGGCGGAAUGGAAACUUAUGAGUUGGUUAAUCAUUCAUCUUGCAACGGCAAUGACUGAAGCUUUAAGUUGUACGAAAGAAGAGAACUGAAGCUGUACAGGUCACCCACUCAGUGUCAUCGAGAACUGAGUGGGGACUGACAAGCAGGAGUAUAGGCCACAGAGCAGGCGUAACGGACAUUGGGCCUCAAUAGAAAUCAUCCCGCUUUUCUUGUACUCAGAGUCUGUUGAGGCAAAUCUCACCUCCACGAAGACCGAGCAGACAUCGCAAGAUGUUUAAUAGGGAUCGACAAAAAGGAAAAAGGAAAUUACAAACUGUACAUAAGUCCAUCCCUAGUCUCCUUUUAUAAGGACAGCUGACAAUUUUAAGUCCAAUCAAAUAAUUUUAAACCAAAUAGAUCCACAGGAUAGUGAACCCAGUUUUAUUAUUUUUUUCAUUCCCUUCAAAAAAUAUCAUCUCCAUUCUGGUAAGAGCUGGCAUAGUACUUCCUAACAUCUAGCUAACAUGAUAGAGGGAGAGGACACAGCAUCAUAUUCUCAAACAUGCAGAACAAUCAGCACAGACGGGAGUUAGACGAGUUUCCCUACAGACAGAGGCAAGUCUCAACACACCAGGGAGACAUGACUGUCUGUGGGAACAAUGGAAGAAAGGCCAGGGUGGGAAGGGCUGGGAUUUCUUUAUGAAAGGCAGAGAGACAAAGUGAGCACCCCAGUGUGCUUUCUGAGCUGAAAGUCUGCCACGCUGAGAACGAGUGCUUGCACAUACAUAAUCACUGUGCAUUUAUUAAAGGCACCUGGACAUUUAAAAGGAAUCCCCCUAUAAGAAAGCCAUGUUCCAACAUUCACUACGUGUCUGUGUAUGAUAAAGUUGAAGACCAUUGGCUGUCAGUCCUGGAGGGUCUCCAU
rnacentral:lncRNA from 1 species